GAGUUUGAUCUUGGCUCAGGAUGAACGCUGGCGGCGUGCCUAACACAUGCAAGUCGAGCGAAGCACUUUGCUUAGAUUCUUUCGGGAUGAAGAGUGAUUUGACUGAGCGGCGGACGGGUGAGUAACGCGUGGGUAACCUGCCUCACACAGGGGGAUAACAGUUAGAAAUGACUGCUAAUACCGCAUAAGACCACAGCACCGCAUGGUGCAGGGGUAAAACUCCGGUGGUGUGAGAUGGACCCGCGUCUGAUUAGCUAGUUGGUAAGGUAACGGC
rnacentral:rRNA from 1 species